GUUGUAUGGUUAAGUGACUAAGCGUACACGGUGGAUGCCUUGGCAGUCAGAGGCGAUGAAAGACGUAGUAACUUGCGAUAAGCCCAGAUUAGGUAGUAACAACCAUUUGAGUCUGGGAUUUCUGAAUGGGGAAACCCACUUACAUAAGUAAGUAUCAUUAACUGAAUACAUAGGUUAAUGAGGCGAACCGGGGGAACUGAAACAUCUAAGUACCCCGAGGAAAAGAAAUCAACCGAGAUUCCGAAAGUAGCGGCGAGCGAAAUUGGACUAGCCCUUAAGCUUUACACGCGUUAGACGAACGGUCUGGAAAGUCCGACGAUACAGGGUGAUAGUCCCGUAGUUGACGACGUGUGUUCAGUGAAAUCGAGUAGGGCGGGACACGUGAUAUCCUGUCUGAAUAUGGGGGGACCAUCCUCCAAGGCUAAAUACUACUGACUGACCGAUAGUGAACCAGUACCGUGAGGGAAAGGCGAAAAGAACCCCUGUGAGGGGAGUGAAAUAGAACCUGAAACCGUGUACGUACAAGCAGUAGGAGCAGGCUUGUCCUGUGACUGCGUACCUUUUGUAUAAUGGGUCAGCGACUUAUAUUCAGUGGCAAGGUUAACCAUCUAGGGGAGCCGUAGGGAAACCGAGUCUUAACUGGGCGUUCAGUCUCUGGAUAUAGACCCGAAACCAGGUGAUCUAGCCAUGGGCAGGUUGAAGGUUGAGUAACAUCAACUGGAGGACCGAACCGACUAAUGUUGAAAAAUUAGCGGAUGACUUGUGGCUAGGGGUGAAAGGCCAAUCAAACCUGGAGAUAGCUGGUUCUCCCCGAAAGCUAUUUAGGUAGCGCCUCGGACGAAUACUACUGGGGGUAGAGCACUGUUAAGGCUAGGGGGUCAUCCCGACUUACCAACCCUUUGCAAACUCCGAAUACCAGUAAGUACUAUCCGGGAGACACACGGCGGGUGCUAACGUCCGUCGUGGAGAGGGAAACAACCCAGACCGCCAGCUAAGGUCCCAAAUUACUACUAAGUGGGAAACGAUGUGGGAAGGCUCAGACAGCCAGGAUGUUGGCUUAGAAGCAGCCAUCAUUUAAAGAAAGCGUAAUAGCUCACUGGUCGAGUCGGCCUGCGCGGAAGAUGUAACGGGGCUAAGUAGUAAACCGAAGCUGCGGCAAUAUACUUUUGUAUAUUGGGUAGGGGAGCGUUCUGUAAGCGGUUGAAGGUGUGUGGUAACGCAUGCUGGACGUAUCAGAAGUGCGAAUGCUGACAUGAGUAACGAUAAAGGGGGUGAAAAACCUCCUCGCCGGAAGACCAAGGGUUCCUGUCCAACGUUAAUCGGGGCAGGGUAAGUCGACCCCUAAGGCGAGGCCGAAAGGCGUAGUCGAUGGGAAACGGGUUAAUAUUCCCGUACUUCUUACAAUUGCGAUGGGGGGACGGAGAAGGCUAGGUGGGCCUGGCGACGGUUGUCCAGGUUCAAGUGCGUAGGCUUAAGAGUUAGGUAAAUCCGGCUCUUUCUAAGGCUGAGACACGACGUCGAGCACCUACGGGUGUGAAGUCAUUGAUGCCAUGCUUCCAGGAAAAGCCUCUAAGCUUCAGAUUGUAAGGAAUCGUACCCCAAACCGACACAGGUGGUCGGGUAGAGAAUACCAAGGCGCUUGAGAGAACUCGGGUGAAGGAACUAGGCAAAAUGGUACCGUAACUUCGGGAGAAGGUACGCUCUCGACGGUGAAGUCCCUCGCGGAUGGAGCUAUUGAGAGUCGCAGAUACCAGGUGGCUGCAACUGUUUAUUAAAAACACAGCACUGUGCAAAAUCGUAAGAUGACGUAUACGGUGUGACGCCUGCCCGGUGCCGGAAGGUUAAUUGAUGGGGUUAGACUUCGGUCGAAGCUCUUGAUCGAAGCCCCGGUAAACGGCGGCCGUAACUAUAACGGUCCUAAGGUAGCGAAAUUCCUUGUCGGGUAAGUUCCGACCUGCACGAAUGGCGUAAUGAUGGCCACGCUGUCUCCACCCGAGACUCAGUGAAAUUGAAAUCGCUGUGAAGAUGCAGUGUACCCGCGGCUAGACGGAAAGACCCCGUGAACCUUUACUACAGCUUGGCACUGAACAUUGACCCUACAUGUGUAGGAUAGGUGGGAGGCUUUGAAGCACGUACGCCAGUAUGUGUGGAGCCGUCCUUGAAAUACCACCCUUGUAGUGUUGAUGUUCUAACGUCGACCCCUAAUCGGGGUUGCGGACAGUGCCUGGUGGGUAGUUUGACUGGGGCGGUCUCCUCCCAAAGAGUAACGGAGGAGCACGAAGGUGGGCUAAUCACGGUUGGACAUCGUGAGGUUAGUGCAAUGGCAUAAGCCCGCUUGACUGCGAGAAUGACAAUUCGAGCAGGUGCGAAAGCAGGUCAUAGUGAUCCGGUGGUUCUGAAUGGAAGGGCCAUCGCUCAACGGAUAAAAGGUACUCCGGGGAUAACAGGCUGAUACCGCCCAAGAGUUCAUAUCGACGGCGGUGUUUGGCACCUCGAUGUCGGCUCAUCACAUCCUGGGGCUGAAGUCGGUCCCAAGGGUAUGGCUGUUCGCCAUUUAAAGUGGUACGCGAGCUGGGUUUAGAACGUCGUGAGACAGUUCGGUCCCUAUCUGCCGUGGGCGUUGGAAGAUUGAAGGGGGCUGCUCCUAGUACGAGAGGACCGGAGUGGACGAACCUCUGGUGUUCGGGUUGUGUCGCCAGACGCAUUGCCCGGUAGCUAAGUUCGGAAUCGAUAACCGCUGAAAGCAUCUAAGCGGGAAGCGAGCCCUGAGAUGAGUCUUCCCUGAUACUUUAAGUAUCCUAAAGGGUUGUCGGAGACUACGACGUUGAUAGGUCAGGUGUGUAAGUGCUGUGAGGCAUUGAGCUAACUGAUACUAAUUGCCCGUGAGGCUUAACCAUACAACACCCAAGGGGUUU
rnacentral:rRNA from 1 species